rnacentral:tRNA from 1 species
CUCUCGGUAGCUCAGUUGAAUAGAGCAGGGCUUUCCUAAAGCAAAGGCCGGAGGUUUGAAUCCUUCCCGAGGGA